rnacentral:rRNA from 1 species
UGGGGAAUAUUGGGCAAUGGGCGAAAGCCUGACCCAGCAACGCCGCGUGGAGGAAGAAGGUUUUCGGAUCGUAAACUCCUGUCCUCAGGGAAGAGAGGGAGACGGUAGCUUAGGAGGAAGCCCCGGCUAACUACGUGCCAGCAGCCGCGGUAAUACGUAGGGGGCGAGCGUUGUCCGGAAUUACUGGGCGUAAAGGGUGCGUAGGCGGUUUGGUAAGUUGGAUGUGAAAUACCCGGGCUUAACUUGGGGGCUGCAUCCAAUACUGUCGGACUUGAGUGCAGGAGAGGAAAGCGGAAUUCCUAGUGUAGCGGUGAAAUGCGUAGAUAUUAGGAGGAACACCGGUGGCGAAGGCGGCUUUCUGGACUGUAACUGACGCUGAGGCACGAAAGCGUGGGGAGCAAACAGGAUUAGAUACCCUGGUAGU